UUGAAAUUAAAAAUUUAUUCAAAAAUUAGUUUUGUAUUUAUUUUAAUUUAAUUAAAUUUUAGUUUUAAAAAUUAAUUUGAAAAAAUUAUUUUAAUUAUAGCAUAUUAGUAUAGUGAUAGAAAUUUUAUAUCUAUUUAAAAGAAAAAUUUAUUUUUUGUACCUUGUGUAUCAGGGUUGAUUAAUAUAUUUAAUUUAUUUUAAUUUCUCGAAUUUAAAAGAGCUAAUUAAUUAUAUUUUAAUUGUAUCAUAAAUUUUAUAAAUAAUUAGUUAGUAAUGAGAUGUUAUUCGUUUUUAAAUAUAUCUAGUUUUUUAAGAAAAAAAUUUAAUUUUUUUAAUAAUAUAAUAAUAUUUUAUUUAUUUAAUUUAUUAUUAUUAUUAAUUAAUUUUUAUUGGGAUAAGCUAAUAAAAUUAUUAUUAAUUAAUAAUGUAAAAUAUAAAAAUAUAGGAUUAGAAAUUUUCAUUAUUAAUAGUUUGUUAUAAUUAUUUUAUAAAAUUUAAAAUUUAUAUUAUUAAUAAGUUAUUUAUUAAAAAAUUAUUUUUAAUAUUAUAAAUUAAGAUAUAAUGAUUAAAUUAGUAUAAUUUUUUUUAUAGAUAAAAUGUAGUAGUUAGAUUAUUUAAAGGAAUUCGGCAAAAUAUUUUUCACCUGUUUAUUAAAAACAUGGCCUUUUGAUUAUAAUUUAAGGUCUUACCUGCCCACUGAAUUUUUAAAUGGCCGCGGUAUUUUGACCGUGCAAAGGUAGCAUAAUCAUUAGUUUUUUAAUUGAAAGCUGGAAUGAAGGGUUUAAUGAAAAAAUAACUGUCUUUGUUUAAAAAUUAAAAUUUUAUUUUUAAGUUAAAAAGCUUAAAUUUUUUUAAUAGACGAGAAGACCCUAUAGAGUUUAAUAAUUUGUUAUAAUAUAAUAAAAUUUUAGAUUAUUUUUUUUUAUUAUUGUGAUUAUUAUAUUGGGGUGAUAGAGUAAUUUAAAAAACUUAUUUUUAUUUAAUUCAUUAAUAUAUGUUUUAUUGAUCCAUAAAUUAUGAUUAUAAGAGUAAAUUACCUUAGGGAUAACAGCGUAAUUUUUUUAGAGAGUUCAAAUCGAAAAAAGAGAUUGCGACCUCGAUGUUGGAUUAAAAUUAAUUUUUGGUAGUAGAAGCUAGGAAUUUAGGUCUGUUCGACCUUUGAAAUUUUACAUGAUCUGAGUUUAAACCGGUGUGAGCCAGGUUGGUUUCUAUCUUUAAAUUAAUAAUAUAAUUUAGUACGAAAGGAUUAAUUAUUUAAUUAAAAA
rnacentral:rRNA from 1 species